rnacentral:lncRNA from 1 species
GUCUCGAAAAACCCUUGAAAUAUCCUAUAUUGUUGUUUUAAAAUAGACCGAUUUUGAAUCACUCAGGCCAACAUUUUCAAAUUUUCAAAAUUUUCAAACCUUUCUUGCAGUGGUAAAAGGAGCAGAGGAAAACGAGUCGCUUCAAUAUUUCCAGCAUCCGCCAUUUUGGAAACCUGCUGCUUCAGUGCUGUUAGUAAUAUGGAAUACAAGUGGGAAAUCGCUGAACUGGAUUGUUUUUUUUCCGACACAGAACUGAAUACUGUUUCAAGAAAAUAGCGAGGAAACACAGGACUCAGCCGAAAACCUAUAAAUAUUUCUACAUGUAAAUAUCCCCAAAUUUUCUAAAUAACUUGACGUUUUCUAAAUAUCCCAAAAUAUAUUUGGAUACUUGUGGAAAGGCCUAAGAGCAGAUUUCAAAAUUCAUUCACAGCAGUUCACAGCGAGAAAUUGAAGUAUUUUUUCAACCCUGAAAAACUCACCUUUUCUCUUUGGUUCAGAACAAAAAAAAAAUUCACUAAACAAGUUGCUGAUUCAUAUCAAUGGGGGCGCCGUGGAAUUUCCAGAGAAAUCUGAGCUCCAGACUGGAAGUAAGCGGAAUCUGCACGUUUUGGUAGAACCCAGUCUACUGCAUGUCUGUUCGAACCCACUCGUUUCACUACACGACUUUCUCUCCAUCCUGGUUUUCAUUGAAACAGUCCGCAUGGCAAAAUCCCAACCAAGAAAGAACGGGCUGGAGGCACUUAGCAUUUAUGCAAUAUCCUUACGCAAAGCUCUUUAAAUUUUCCCCACAAUUUUGUCGACAGAUCCCAGAAUUACACUGAGCACUGGCGGCUGACAGGUCAGUUUACUUCUGACGCUUGAAACAAAUAACCGUGCCCUCUGCGGAUAUCUCAAACGAUCGAUAUGCAGUCGGGAAAAGACAAUAUCAAACAAUAGGCCCUUUGUACGAUCAGGUCACAUGGUGCAAAAUCACAUAUGCUGGGACGCAAGUUGCACAGUGGGACUUCCAAAACAAAGGCAGGUCAAGGUGGACUGGUACGAGUUGCUUUGUUUUGGAAGUCCCACUGUGCAACUUACGUCCCAGCAUGUGUGAUUUUGUACCAUGUGACGGGAUCGUGCUAAGGGCCUAUUCAAUAUCAAGUGUCAACGAACGUCGUUAACGCACUGGAGCAUGGAGCAUUGCUUGACAACUCCAAACGCCGGCUGUGAAGUAGACCCGGGUAAGGAGAUUGGUCAACUGACCUCUACUGAGCAAGAUAACCUCAAGAGACGAGAAACGAGGCAAUCGUGGGCGGAAUUAAACAGUGAAGGUCAGUGUUUCACAUCCAGUGUCUCGAGAAAUUCGUAUUUUAACUGCUUUCUCAUCUUGCAUUUUCUUUUGAAUAAGAAAAACUUCACGCAACACACAGCAUGAUACAUUUACAGAAACUGUUUUACUUUUGAAUAGAACAGGAGUAGGUAAACUCAGUCAACAGUGUUGAUUGUAGUGGAUUAUGGUAAUUCAAGACUAGUCGCAUCACUACACAAGCUCACUCCUUCUUCUGUUUGGAACACUAAUCACGC